rnacentral:rRNA from 1 species
UGGGGAAUAUUGCACAAUGGGCGCAAGCCUGAUGCAGCAACGCCGCGUGCGGGAAGAAGGCCCUAGGGUUGUAAACCGCUUUCAGCAGGGAAGAAACUGACGGUACCUGCAGAAGAAGGUGCGGCCAACUACGUGCCAGCAGCCGCGGUGACACGUAGGCACCAAGCGUUGUCCGGAUUUAUUGGGCGUAAAGAGCUCGUAGGCGGUUCAGUAAGUCGGGUGUGAAAACUCUGGGCUCAACCCAGAGACGCCACCCGAUACUGCUGUGACUAGAGUGCGGUAGGGGAGCGGGGAAUUCCUGGUGUAGCGGUGAAAUGCGCAGAUAUCAGGAGGAACACCAGUGGCGAAGGCGCCGCUCUGGGCCGUAACUGACGCUGAGGAGCGAAAGCAUGGGUAGCAAACAGGAUUAGAUACCCUGGUAGUCCAUGCCGUAAACGUUGGGCACUAGGUGUGGUCUCAACCAACGAGAUCCGCGCCGUCGCUAACGCAUUAAGUGCCCCGCCUGGGAGUACGGUCGCAAGAUUAAAACUCAAAUGAAUUGA